GACGAACGCUGGCGGCGUGCUUAACACAUGCAAGUCGAACGGUGAAGCGCCUUCCUUUUUGGUGGGUGUGGAUGAGUGGCGAACGGGUGAGUAACACGUGAGUAACCUGCCCCCUUCUUCUGGAUAACCGCAUGAAAGUGUGGCUAAUACGGGAUAUUCUGGGUCUGUCGCAUGAUGGGUCUGGGAAAGAUAUUGUUUCGGUGGGGGAUGGGCUCGCGGCCUAUCAGCUUGUUGGUGGGGUGAUGGCCUACCAAGGCGGUGACGGGUAGCCGGCCUGAGAGGGUGGACGGUCACACUGGGACUGAGCCACGGAGCAGACUACUACGGGAGGCAGCAGUGGGGAAUAUUGCACAAUGGGCGCAAGGCUGAUGCAGCGACGCCGCGUGAGGGAUGGAGGCCUUCGGGUUGUGAACCUCUUUCGCCAGUGAAGCAGGCCUGCCUCGUUUGUGGGUGGGUUGACGGUAGCUGGAUAAGAAGCGCCGGCUAACUACGUG
rnacentral:rRNA from 1 species